rnacentral:rRNA from 1 species
GUACGGAAGGCAGCAGUAGGGAAUAUUGCACAAUGGAGGAAACUCUGAUGCAGCGACGCCGCGUGAGUGAUGAAGGCCUUCGGGUCGUAAAGCUCUGUCGUAUGGGACUAACAAAAUGAAGGUACCAUGCAAGAAAGGAUCGGCUAACUUCGUGCCAGCAGCCGCGGUAAGACGAGGGAUCCUAGCGUUGUUCGGAAUUAUUGGGCGUAAAGCGGGUGUAGGCGGACUUAUAAGUCAGGUGUGAAAUCCCAGGGCUCAACCCUGGAAGUGCACUUGAUACUGCAAGUCUUGAGUGUGGUAGAGGCUAUUAGAAUUCUUGGUGUAGUGGUGAAAUACGUAGAUAUCAAGAGGAAUACCGGAGGCGAAGGCGGAUAGCUGGCCAACACUGACGCUGAGACCCGAAAGCGUGGGGAUCAAACAGGAUUAGAUACCCCGGUAGG